rnacentral:rRNA from 1 species
CCACAAAUGGGAAAACCUUUAAAGAAAAUUUUGUUAUGGUUUCAAUUUUAUUUUAUAGUUCUUAACUAUGGGGCUUAUUGGGUUUCCAGUUAUGAAAUUUUUAAAUGUUGGGAAACCAAGCAAAAGAUACUAUAUUUUACCAAGGCUAAAUCAGUGCCAGCAGCCGCGGUCAUACUGUUUUGGUAAAUAAAACAAUAUAGUAAUUUACAAUUUAAUAAUAAGAGUAUAUUGGUGAAAUAUUAAUCUCAUUUAUUCUAAUUAAAUUUUACAAUAAUAAAAGACUUACUACAAACAAGGAUUAGAGACCCUUCUAUGGAGUAUUUACUAAAACAUUACUGGGCAUUAAAAUGUAUAUAUCUAAACCCAAAUAACAUGGCGGUAACUUUAAUAUUUAGGGGAACUUACCUAAUAAAUGAUAAUCCUCAAGAAACACUACUUUAAGUAAAGUUUUGUAUGCCGUCGUCUGGAUUUAAUUUAAUAUUAAAUCUAAAUAUUUAUAUAGAAAGACAGAUCAAGGUGCAGAGUAUAUUAAAGAUAUUGGCGAGUUACAAUAUUAUUCUAAUUCUAUUAAAAUUUAAGAAAUUGCUAUAUAGGUGGACUUAAAAGUAAAAGCUAUUAUGUAUAUGCUUUGAAUACACUGGAAGUUGUGC